rnacentral:rRNA from 1 species
UACGAAGGGGGCUAGCGUUGUUCGGAAUUACUGGGCGUAAAGCGCACGUAGGCGGAUAUUUAAGUCAGGGGUGAAAUCCCAGAGCUCAACUCUGGAACUGCCUUUGGUACUGGGUAUCUCGAGUGUGGAAGAGGUAAGUGGAAUUCCGAGUGUAGAGGUGAAAUUCGUAGAUAUUCGGAGGAACACCAGUGGCGAAGGCGGCUUACUGGUCCAUUACUGACGCUGAGGUGCGAAAGCGUGGGGAGCAAACAGG